rnacentral:rRNA from 1 species
CGGGUGAGUAACACGUAUGCAAUCCACCUGUAACAGGGGGAUAACCCGGAGAAAUCCGGACUAAUACCCCAUAAUAUGGGCGCUCCGCAUGGAGAGUCCAUUAAAGAGAGCAAUCUUGGUUACAGACGAGCAUGCGCUCCAUUAGCCAGUUGGCGGGGUAACAGCCCACCAAGACGAUGAUAGGUAGGGGUUCUGAGAGGAAGGUCCCCCACAUUGGAACUGAGACACGGUCCAA